CUUUUACUGCGAAAAGGGCUUGGAGAGUUGAGCAAGUCCAUGUACUAGGGAUGGUGUAAGGCCCCCCCUUUUAUAUACUUGCCUAUAUAUUCAAUAUUAGAAUAUCGAUUUAUAUAGAUUUAUUUCUAUUUUACUAGUUUAUUCGAAUGUUUUCAUUAUAGAAUUCGUCUGAUAAGCCCGUUCUCUAAGGUGGAAACACUGUCUAAAACAGCAUACACCAAAACUCAAUGAACUAAAAGAUUUUAUUAAUUGAAGGAAAAGAAACCAACCGGGAUUGCGCUAGUAGUACAGAGCGAAAGCGCAAAAGCUUAAAUAAUUUUUGUUUACGGUCGAACUUAAGUGGAAUCCGGACCAGAGAAAGUUAUAGUCUUGUAGAUUGUAAACAAAAAAAAAAGUGCCGCAAUUAAAAUAUACUUUAUUUGCGCACAUAUUAGUACUUAUUGCGACAUUUAUAUUAUAUAAUACGCGUUAUAUAUAUAAAGUUGCGCAAUAAAUGGGCAAGUUAGUGGUUUUAAACUGCUAAAUUAUUGACGGAUACCACUCUGUUGGCUAAAUACUCUAUGUAGAUCGAUAGUGAAUCAGUACUGUAAAGGAAUUAGGAAACAAGAAUGCCAUUGCUUCUCUGAAUACAAGUCCCGAAACAGGUUGCUUAUAAUGACUUUCAGUUUGGCAGUUAUAAUGUUGAAUAGAAAGGUUCCUUUUGAAUCAUGAGCUGAUGACUUUGUGUUGGUUUAAGGCGUAUUAUUAAUCGUGUAUUAAUAUAAGUGGCUUAAUUUAUUAAAAGUAAGCUUAUUAUGAAAAUAAUCAUAAAAAACUAACACAAGACGCGAAACGAAGUGAGCUUAAGUAGACCAGGGGGAAGGUUGCCGGAAGGUAGUUGGACGCCCGAAGUGGUAUGCGUUGCAACGCAUUCAUAUGAGUUUAUUUAAGUGGCGAAAUACCAAUCGAACUUCGAAAUAUCUCGUUUUUUGCGAAACCUUUUUAGGAAGGGGGCCUGCAAAAUAAAUGCUAACUAGGUAGAGCGCUGUAAAACUGAUGGGAGGGAAACUUUUACUGAGGUGUUGCAAACCACAAAUUAGGAGCAUUUUGCCAGGUACUCAGUCAGUGCGGGACAAGCUGCAUUUGACAAGAAGGAAACAGCCUAGACUAUUAAUUAAGGCCCGCAAAUAGCGCUAAGUGAGAAAGUAAUUAACUUCACAAAAAUUAGUAGGACGUUUGAUUAGCAGCAUCUACCGUUUAAAGAAAGCGUAAUAGCUCACUACUAUAGUUUAGUUGUUGCGAAAAUUUAGCCGGACUAAGCGCUAUGCCGAAAUUAUAGCUAACUGGAAACAAUACAAUCAGUUAGAGUAGCAAAACGAACCAUGUUGACAAAAUUAUGUCGGUAAGACUUAAUGAAAAUAUUGGUUGUGAAUAUAUCAGCUAGAGUAACAUAUAAAUUGAGAUUAUUACUUAAGGCAGCUUUGUAUUAAUGAGUACGAGUGUUAUAAAAGCAUUUUUUUAAUAAUAAAUUAUACUAUUUAUUACUUGAAUUAAUGCAAAGUUGUAUUAAUUCAGAACAGUAUCUCAAUGAUCGGAAAUCCUGGGUUUUCUACACAACUAUUAAAGAUGUAGUUAAAAAUACGGUCCCUAAGUAUCAUAAAGGCUACGAUGGGUACUUGCUGUGUCCAACAAAACCUUAUUCAUAGGUCUGUUGCAGGAAACAGUAGCAAGGAAUUACGUUACGCGUAGCAUAAUAUUUGUCUUAUCUUAUUUUACGCGUAUUAUAAGCACCGUACUAAAACUGACUCUGGUGGAUUGGUAGAUUUUACUAAGAUUUGGUUAUAAUCGCUCGUAAGGAACUCGGCAAAUUGCGCUGGUACUUUCGAAAACAGCGGUCUAAAAGUGGUGUUUUAGAUCUCAGAUAAGAGAACUGGGUGACAGUUUACUAAAAACGAUGUUGCCUCAGGUCAUCCUGGAGCUGAACAAGGUUCCAAGGGCGCAACUGUUCUUUGCAUAAUGACCUACGUGAGGUGAGUUUAAACCGCCGUAAGGCAGGUUUGGUUCUAUCUAGACAGCCAUAUUUAUUUAACCAAGCACUAGAAUUCCACUGUACGAAAGGACCCGGAAUUCCGCGCCAAUGGUUUAGCAAUUGUUUUGAAAAAAGCAUGGUUGCAACGCUAAGCGUGAAAUGUUAAUUGCUGAAAAACUAUCAAGCAAGAAACAAUUGUAAAGGUUAUAAGAGAUCGCAUUUGCGUAAAUAGGCGCGGGGUGUAAGCUUUGUAAUAAGCUCAGCUACCGCGUACUAAUUUUUU
rnacentral:rRNA from 1 species